ACAUCCUCGCCCUCCUCCCCUGUCACUCCCCUCCGCCCUCGCCGCGAAACCCUUGCAGCCGUGUGCGGUCUCGUCGCUUCGAAUUGCUCGAAUCUGCGCUUACAUACAUGCCGUGAUAUCGCUGUGCCACAUGCAAGCAACAUGAGAGCUAGGAGCCGCGGAUAGUAGGGAUGAAGAUUGGCAAGAUAAUAACGGCACAUUAAACACCAUAUCACAAUUGUAUCCUGGCUUGCCUUGUGUGCAUUCGAAAUGCGGGAUAGGAGCGGAUCUGAGUGAUUUAAAGGAUGGAAGAGUUCUUCAACCUGGAAUAUGGUAAGAACAUUUUCAAACUUGUUUGUCUACAAAGAUUCUUAGUCCGUUUUGAGGAUUGAGCUUUUUCUCUCAAUUGCAAUCUCUGUGUGUCGUAUAUUUUGAAAAACUUAAUGUGUUCAAUGUUCUCAACAAAAGAUCUAACCUGGAGCUCUGCCAAUGCAAGUUACAAUCAACCUUAGUCGUGGAUCACAUCUACAUUAUCAUCAAUCAUGAAUGAGCAGGUGUUCAUCUAGAUGUAAGAUAUGACAACACAUUUCAACUGUGUAGAAAGUAAAUUAAACCCUCAUUGCAAUCUUCUUGAGUUGCAUGUAUUUUUCAUCACCAGAGAUGUGCAAGGGAAGGUCAUAAACUUAAAUGUAAUAUGCAUUGAAAAUGUUUCUUGCUGAGGGAAGUCAUAAUCUUGUCAUACUAUUCAUAUAUCAAUUUACCUUGGCGUUGGGAUUCCUUAUGUCAUCUACUUGGUUCAAGUUGAUAAGACACUCAUGACAAGACACUCAUUCAAUUUAUUUGAUGGAACUCCUAUUGCUA